AGGGUUGUAAAACCGGUCUGGCAAC
rnacentral:piRNA from 1 species